UUCCACAAAUAACCUGACACUCCAGCAAACAUAUGAACAACCCUAUCCCAAUAGGGGCUUUUAUGCUAAAACUACUAAUACGAGCAACCGCUCUACCCGCGCACUCAUCACUCAAACAACACAGACAAUUAACAGACCCAAAAAGGAUGGGCACAACCUAAUUAACAAGCACCCAAUACACUGUGAACCCAACCCUGGUGCGCAAUUAGGUAAAAUUAAAAGUUACAAAAGGAACUCGGCAAACACAGAUUCCAACUGUUUACCAAAAACAUAGCCUUUAGCUAAACAAAUAUUAAAGGUAAUGCCUGCCCAGUGAAAUCACUUUCAACGGCCGCGGUACCCUAACCGUGCAAAGGUAGCGUAAUCA
rnacentral:rRNA from 1 species